AUUGAACGCUGGCGGCAGGCCUAACACAUGCAAGUCGAACGAGUGGCAGACGGGUGAGUUAUGUCUGGGACACUGCCUGAAGGAGGGGUAUAACUAGUGGAAAGGGUAGCUAAUACCGCAUACCAUCAGAUGUGCCCAGAGUGGAUUAGCUUGUUGGUGGGGUAACGGCUCACCCAGGCGACGAUCCCUAGCUGGUCUGAGAGGAUGACCAGCCACACUGGAACUGAGACACGGUCCAGACUCCUACGGGAGGCAGCAGUGGGGAAUAUUGCACAAUGGGCGCAAGCCUGAUGCAGCCAUGCCGCGUGUAUGAAGAAGGCCUUCGGGUUGUAAAGUACUUUCAGCGGGGAGGCGUUACCCGCAGAAGAAGCACCGGCUAACUCCGUGCCAGCCGCCGCGGUAAUUC
rnacentral:rRNA from 1 species